rnacentral:rRNA from 1 species
CGCGAAACCAGGCGAGCUACUAUGGAACAUAUAUUAGUAUAAAAUAUGUCGCAUAAUAAAGUAGAUUAAGUAGUAGGAGUGAAAGGCUACCAAGUCUGGGGAUAUCUCGCAAACCUUGAAAUGUAUUUAGUACAAUGUCAGAUUGCUAGUGAUAAGGCUGGUAAAUAAUAUUUAAUUAAAUGUUACUUACAUACACAGUUUAGUCGCUAGUAUCCGUUAAACAAAGUAUGCAUGUUAAGACGUAAUAGACAAUAAAGGUUAAUACUAAAUUAUUAUAGGUAUAUAUACUGUGUGUAUGAGUAAUUAAGGUAUCACUGAUGAACUCGGCAAUAUUUCUUUCACCUGUUUAUCAAAAACAUCGCCAGUAGUAAAUAGUAUUGGUAAUUUCUGCUCAAUGUACCAUAAAUAGCCGCAGUACCUUGACUGUGCAAAGGUAGCAUAAUCAUUUGGCUUAUAAUUGAAGUCUGGUAUGAAUGAAUUCAUGGGGGAAAGCUCUAUUGGUGAUAUAAUGUGAAUUUGUUUAAGAGGGUGCAAAUACCCUUAACUCAAUAAUAGACGAGAAGACCCUAGAAAUUUGUAGUAUAUGCCUUGGUACCUUUUUGUUGGGGCAACAUUGUAGCAAACAACCUACAGUUAUUACACGACAUGUAUUAGUAAGAAUAAAUUACUCUAGGGAUAACAGCGUAAUUCUGUGGAGCUUGCGACCUCGAUGUUGGACUAGGAAGCAGUCGCUUAGAA